rnacentral:rRNA from 1 species
CGGCGUGGAUUAGGCAUGCAAGUCGAACGAUCCAUUUCGGUGGAUAGUGGCAAACGGGUGAGUAACGCGUAAGCAAUCUUCCUCAAAGUUGGGAAUAGCAUCGUGAAAACGGUGGUAAUACCCGAUGUUAUCUUAAUAUCGCAUGGUAUUUUGAUCAAAGGCGGGGACCUUCGGGCCUGCCGCUUUGAGAUGAGCUUGCGUCCUAUCAGCUUGUUGGUGAGGUAACGGCUCACCAAGGCGUUUGACGGGUAGCCGGCCUGAGAGGGUGUCCGGCCACACUGGGACUGAGACACUGCCCAGACUCCUACGGGAGGCUGCAGUCGAGAAUCUUUCACAAUGGGGGAAACCCUGAUGAUGCGACGCCGCGUGCAGGAUGAAGGUUUUCGGAUCGUAAACUGCUUUUGUUAGGGGAGAAACCUUAAGAGCUAAUAACUCUUAAGCUGACGGUACCUAACGAAUAAGCCACGGCCAACUCCGUGCCAGCAGCCGCGGUAAUACGGAGGUGGCAAGCGUUACUCGGAAUUAUUGGGUGUAAAGGGCAGGUAGGCGGCCUAUUAAGUGAGGGGUGAAAUCCAACGACUCAAUCGUUGAACUGCCUUUCAAACUAAUAGGCUUGAGAUCGGUAUGGGGAAGUGGAAUUAGCAGUGUAAGGGUGAAAUCUGUAGAUAUUGCUAAGAACACCAGCGGCGAAGGCGACUUCCUGGGCCGCAUCUGACGCUGAUCUGCGAAAGCUAGGGUAGCAAACGGAAUUAGAUACUCCGGUAGUCCUAGCCGUAAACGAUGAGUACUAGGUGUCGGGUUUUCUCGGUGCCGCAGCUAACGCAUUAAGUACUCCACCUGGGGACUACGACCGCAAGGUUAAAACUCAAAGGAAUUGACGGGGACCCGCACAAGCGGUGGAACAUGUGGUUUAAUUCGAUGAUACGCGAAGAACCUCACCAAGGCUUGACAUGUACGCAGUAGCGAAUCUGAAAAGUGAGCGAUCCGUCAAAUCGGAAACGUACACAGGUGCUGCAUGGCUGUCGUCAGCUCGUGUCGUGAGAUGUUGGGUUAAGUCCCGCAACGAGCGCAACCAUUGCCCUAUGUUGCCACCCUGAUCUUCGGAUCAGGCGCACUCUUAGGGGACUGCCCGGGAUAACCGGGAGGAAGGUGGAGAUGACGUCAAGUCAGUACGGCCUUUAUGCCUUGGGCUACACACGUGUUACAAUGCGCGGUACAGAGGGUUGCCAACCCGUGAGGGGGAGCUAAUCUCAAAAAGCCGCGCUCAGUUCGGAUUGAAGUCUGCAAUUCGGCUUCAUGAAGCUGGAAUCGCUAGUAAUGGGAGAUCAGCUCGCUCCCGUGAUACGUUCCCGGGUCUUGUACACACCGCCCGUCAAGCGAUGGGAGUCGGGGGCACCCGAAGUC